AACGCACAUUGCGCCCCCUGGUAUUCCGGGGGGCAUGCCUGUCCGAGCGUCAUUGCAACCCUCAAGCACGGCUUGUGUUAUGGGCGUCCUCGUCCCGCUGCUUCAGUGGACGCGCCCGAAAUGCAGUGAUCGCCGCCGCGACUCCGGCGCCCGAGCGAAUGGGAAUAUAACCACCGCUCAGGGGGCCCGGCCGGCUGUUUCGGUCUCAAACCACAAAUUUUCUCAGGUUGACCUCGGAUCAGGUAGGGAUACCCGCUGAACUUAA
rnacentral:misc_RNA from 1 species